rnacentral:lncRNA from 1 species
AAACUAUCACAACACUCGAUAUCACUUAAAAUUCGUUCAAGCACAAUAGUUCAAGCAUAUUUCACUGAAAGAAGAAAGAAACCUAAUCAAAAAGGUGUUGAUAAAGGUAAAUAAUUUUUAUAUUUUAUUUUUUUUGGUUUUAGUAGAAUUUUUAAUUUAAUUUCUAAGUAACUAAUGCCUUGUUAAUUUUUUUGCGGAUUAAUUUUUUUCUUGUAUGGAAAAAUUGGUGUUUGGGCUUGGUUUUUCCAUUGUAAAGGUAUAUUUAUUAUAUAUAAAUAUAAAUAAAUUUUAAACUUAUUAAUAAAUCAAAAAUAUAAAAUUUCUAAAAAUAAUAAAAGUUCAUAAAUAUUUAUUUGGUAGAAUAAACAUGAAUAUAUAUAUAUUUUUGUUAAUGUGAAUAUUUAUAUAAUAUAGACCAUUGCUAUAUUAAAAUAAUAUUUUUAAUAUUAUAUUUCUAGAAUAAGUUUUCUAGUAGAUGUGAAUAUUUCUAGUAUAUUUUUAGUGUACGUUUCUAGUAUAUGAUUUUAAUAUAUUUCUGAUAUAUAUUUCUAUAUAUUUUUCCAGAUGCAGUGAAUAUUUGUAUUUAUAAUAUUUUUAGUAUAUAUUUUUAAUAUAUUUCUAGUAUGUAUAUAUUUUUAACAGAUCUGUAGUAUAUAUUGUGAACAUUUAUGAUAUUUAUAUAAUUUUUACUUGUAAUAAUUUCUUAUUGAUUUCUAUAUAUUGAUUAUAAUAGUAGAUCAUAAUAAUAAUAUUAAUGUCUCGAAAAGUUAAUCAUAUACUAACAAUGUGCUAUAUAUUUUUGGUAAAUUAAUCAUAUAUUAAAAAUUAAUUAUAAAUUAAUUACAACUAGAGAUUUUUUUAUUCGAAUUUUUUUUUUCAUAACCCAGAAAAUACAAAAUAAUAUGAUUUGGAGUUAAAAAUUUAAUGAAAUAUUUCUAUUUAUUUUUAUUCUUUAUCAUUGAUAGAUGGUUGCUUUUGUUGCACGACCAAGACUUAUUAAAGGACGUUUUGUUAAGGAGAAGGUGAAAGAAAUGUGAAAAGAACUAUAUGAGUUUAGAUUUAAUCUAGUAUCCAAAAAGC